rfam:Mus musculus chromosome 11, GRC primary reference assembly.
GGAGAGGUGGCUCAGUGGUUAAGAGCACUGACUGCUGUUUCAGAGGUCCUGAGUUCAAUUCCCAGCAACCACA